rnacentral:misc_RNA from 1 species
AGAUUUCCAAUAACUUUCAUCUGUAUUUGUUAAAAGAAGUUAUGCUAGUGUUUUCACUACUAUUGGAAUGCCUUUGCAUUUUUUUACUAUUUCAUUCCCAAUUCUUAACAAGUUUGGAUGGUGCCUCUCUUGGCCUUCUUUAAAUGCACUUUUAGUAAACAAAGCUGCACACUCAUCAUAAGGAAGGCCUGAUAAUUCAUGCGGUGCUGAAAUAGUGCCCAU